rnacentral:rRNA from 1 species
AACUCCUACGGGAGGCAGCAGUGGGGAAUUUUGGACAAUGGGCGAAAGCCUGAUCCAGCAAUGCCGCGUGUGUGAAGAAGGCCUUCGGGUUGUAAAGCACUUUUGUCCGGAAAGAAAUGGCUCUGGUUAAUACCUGGGGUCGAUGACGUACCGAA